UGGGGAAUAUUGCACAAUGGGCGCAAGCCUGAUGUAGCCAUGCCGCGUGUGUGAAGAAGGCCUUCGGGUUGUAAAGCACUUUCAGCGGGGAGGAAGGCGUUAAGGUUAAUAACCUUGGCGAUUGACGUUACCCGCAGAAGAAGCACCGGCUAACUCCGUGCCAGCAGCCGCGGUAAUACGGAGGGUGCAAGCGUUAAUCGGAAUUACUGGGCGUAAAGCGCACGCAGGCGGUCUGUCAAGUCGGAUGUGAAAUCCCCGGGCUCAACCUGGGAACUGCAUUCGAAACUGGCAGGCUAGAGUCUUGUAGAGGGGGGUAGAAUUCCAGGUGUAGCGGUGAAAUGCGUAGAGAUCUGGAGGAAUACCGGUGGCGAAGGCGGCCCCCUGGACGAAGACUGACGCUCAGGUGCGAAAGCGUGGGGAGCAAACAGG
rnacentral:rRNA from 1 species